rnacentral:lncRNA from 13 species
CUAAGUAAUCUCCAUCCUGCCUGUUUCAUCAGAAUCAAUGGAGAUCAUGCACAAAAAAGCAUGAACUGCUAAGUGUUCUGUAUGUUUCUGAAGUUAACAGAUGCCUGCUGAUACAAUGUGUUGAAUAGUUCUUGCGGUUAGACAGCAUCAUUAAUCGAACAAGAAGUGAAAUACAAUUCAUAAAUGGAUAGAGAAUAUCACUUUCACGUGGCCCACACACCCGUGGCAAACAAUUUCGUCAGCAGCAUCUCUGGCUUCAAGCAUUGAAGGAUGUGUCAGUGGAUUUUGUGAAAUAAGCCAAGAAUUAAUUGCCUUUCACUGUGGCUGAAGGAAACAAGUGCUUGUUCCUUGGUGCCAAAAAGAAGAACCAGCAUUCAGACAAAGAACUUUUCUCAGCAAGGUGAUCUUACUUUCUGCAGAAAGGGUGCUUCUUGGAAGUCUGCUUGUCAUGGGAGCACACUGAACAAAUACAAGCAGGAGUUAUUAUCCCUGACACAUUGGAUCCUUACUGCUGUGUCCUAUCCCCAUUGGCUGGAGCUGGACUGCCUGCCCAAUCUAGACUGAUCCGAACUGGCUAAAAACUUAAAAGUUUCCUAAAUAGGUAAACGUGCAGUAAUGAACAAAGAAAGUAAAGGGAUUGUUUAUGGGAAAGUAGGAGAAUAAUAACAUUUCCAAAUAAGGAAGAGGUGUAGGCUGUAAGCUGGGAAAUGCUUGGGCAUGUUAGAACAUGUCUGAGCAGGCUAUAGGCCAGAACAAAUAACAUGGUUAAAAUACAAGGACAUAAAAUGCACUUAUUCCCUUACCAUAUUUAAUGGCUACAUAGGGCUUAACAAAGAGUUAUUAGCAAAAAGCAAGGAAUGUUGAAGGAAGCUAGUUUUUAAAAGAAACUAUUAUUUCUGACACUUAUUAUUUAUUCUUUAACAAAAAGAGAAACCUUGCAGAUAAACUUUACUUUUCACAAAUAGAAACAAUGUCCUACUUUUCAUUUCUGUUAAGAACUCUAC